rnacentral:rRNA from 1 species
UGACCUCAAAUCAGGUAGGACUACCCGCUGAACUUAAGCAUAUCAAUAAGCGGAGGAAAAGAAACUAACAAGGAUUCCCCUAGUAACUGCGAGUGAAGCGGGAAAAGCUCAAAUUUGAAAUCUGGUAGUCUUUUUGUGGCUGCCCGAGUUGUAAUCUAGAGAAGCAUUUAUCCGCGCUGGACCGUGUACAAGUGUCUUGGAAUAGACCAUCAUAGAGGGUGAGAAUCCCGUCUUUGACCACGGACUACCAGGGCUUUUGUGAUGUGCUCUCAAAGAGUCGAGUUGUUUGGGAAUGCAGCUCUAAAUGGGUGGUAAAUUCCAUCUAAAGCUAAAUAAUGGCAAGAGACCGAUAGUGAACAAGUACCGUGAGGGAAAGAUGAAAAGAACUUUGGAAAGAGGGUUAAACAGUACGUGAAAUUGCUGAAAGGGAAGCGCUUGAAGUCAGUCGCGUUGACUGGGGUUCAACCUUUGCUUAUAAGCAUGGUUUAUUUCCCAGUUGACGGGUCAGCAUCAGUUUUGAACUCAAUGGAUAAAGGCCCAAGGGAAUGUGGCACCCUCGGGUGUGUUUAUAGCCCUUGGUCAUAUACAUUGGUUGGGACUGAGGAACUCGGGCAAAAAGGGCUUUAUUGCUGCUUUAUUGCUUAUAGGAUGCUGGCAUAAUGGCUUUAAGCGACCCGUCUUGAAACACGGACCAAGGAGUCUAACAUGCACGCAAGUGUUUGAGUGGAAAACUCAAGCGCGUAAUGAAAGUGAAUAGAGUUGAGAUCCCUUUGGGGAGCAUUGACGCCCAGACCAGAGCUUUUUCAGCAAUGGAUCUGCGGUUGAGCGUGUAUGUUGGGACCCGAAAGAUGGUGAACUAUGCCUGAAUAGGGUGAAGCCAGAGGAAACUCUGGUGGAGGCUCGUAGCGAUUCUGACGUGCAAAUUGAUCGUCAAAUUUGGGUAUAGGGGCGAAAGACUAAUCGAA